GAGUGCCUGCACAGCAUCAGCUUCAGGCAGGCUAUAGGCCCAUGCUGAGGCUCUCUCCUUCACUGUACCUGUAUCACAGAUGAGGACAUGGAAGUACAGAAAGGCC